AUUACUGUAGUUCUCUAACAUCUUAUCUCGAAGAUUAUGAACAUUUAGCUAUAUGGUAAUCCUAAUUUGACGAAUCUUAACAGGAAGAAACUGAUGUUGGACAAACUAUUUGCACGCCAUUUGAAGCUAAGACUCCCUUUGAGACCAUUCAUGCUGUUGCUCUUGACCAUAUUACUAUAUUUAGGAGCAAAUGUAAUUUGUUCUUUAAAAAGUUAUUUGAUAAAUAUUUACUCUUA
rnacentral:lncRNA from 1 species